ACUUGGACUCGACUAGUCCUGGUCUUGGACUUGUCUUGGACUCAACUAAGGUGGUCUUGACUACAGCCCUGCUUACAACUGCGUCACAAAAUUGUCAAAAAAAAGCUCUGCUAGCCGUAAAAGAUGACACGUUUACAGCGACAGGUUAGCUUACAACGGCAAAUAUUCAAAUAUCUGCAACUGUAGUGAACUAAGUGAAAAGGUAAACCGCUUGUUUACACAGAUGCUGAAAUAUUAACGGGACAUCCGAUUACUCAUGUUAACAAACAUGGGACUAAAUGGCUAGAGAUGGCUAAAUGAAGCUUCAUGAACCAUUGUCUUUACUUCCUGAGCCCACUAGAUGGCGCUCUCUGUUCAACAGAGGCGUGAAAGCACGCUGAAUUUCCAUUCUUUGAAACCUUUUCUUUAAAUCAAGAGCGCCAUCCACGUGGACGGGCUCAGAAAAUCAUAAAAUUAAUGAUUCAUGAAGCUUCCAGAGGGUUAAUUUUUCUUCAUAGGACGCUUAAGUUUCUAUUUUCCCAACUUAUUGUGUAAACCAUGAGUUGUGGUUAUCAUGAAAAGGUUUUCCUCUUUGUUUUGGAAUCAAAUACUUAAUAUUUAUAAUAAAAGGGUGGCAGACCAAAGGAAGUACUCAUCCAAUCUUGAAUCUAAUCUGUUUACAGAAUGCGUAAAGGCCACUUGAAUCUCAGAUUGUCAUUUUUGAGGUUUUUUUUAAACUCAGUUGAACUGCACUUAUCUACCUGGAUGAUUCAGCAUACCUCUACUUAUAGGUAAGACUGUACGAUAGACAUGUAGACACUUUCUGUGGCGUUGAUUCCAACUUUUUACAGUGGUUACUUCGAUGUAUUUGUAGAUUUUGGUGAGCCAUUUUUUAAGUGUUUUUUAUUUAUUUUUUGGGAGUACCUG